AGAACGAACGCUGGCGGCAUGCCUAACACAUGCAAGUCGAACGAGACCUUCGGGUCUAGUGGCGCACGGGUGCGUAACGCGUGGGAAUCUGCCCUUAGGUUCGGAAUAACAGUUAGAAAUGACUGCUAAUACCGGAUAAUGACGUAAGUCCAAAGAUUUAUCGCCUAAGGAUGAGCCCGCGUAAGAUUAGCUAGUUGGUGGGGUAAAGGCCUACCAAGGCUACGAUCUUUAGCUGGUCUGAGAGGAUGAUCAGCCACACUGGGACUGAGACACGGCCCAGACUCCUACGGGAGGCAGCAGUGGGGAAUAUUGGACAAUGGGCGAAAGCCUGAUCCAGCAAUGCCGCGUGAGUGAUGAAGGCCUUAGGUUGUAAAGCUCUUUACCCGGGAUGAUAAUGACAGUACCGGAGAAUAAGCUCCGGCUAACUCCGUGCCAGCAGCCGC
rnacentral:rRNA from 1 species